UGUAAUUUCACAGGUGGCCUGUGUACCCAGAGGGGCUGGGCAGUUCCACCUCUGGAGUGCAAGCUCCCUUGCCUGCAGCCUGCCUGGAGGUUUUCCCUGGCAGACAUGGCUGUGCAGCACAGCCUUUUAAGGGAGAACUCUCUAUGCUGGUUUUGUCUUCUUUGCUGAACAGGGCAUUGCGGAUGGUGCCACGCUCGCUAACUGGAUUUCUACUUCUCUUUUCAGUGCCCGGUGAGGAAAAUCCCCCUGCUCCCACCACGUAUCGGCGUUUCGGCUCCGGCUGACAGUGCACCCAGGAACCACAGUUACAACCAGUCAUUGAUUUGUUUCCUGCUUGAGUGCCAUAAAACAUUUUCAAGAAAUGGAAGAAGAUAAAGGGCAGAGUGCUAAAGCUACCAGUGCAGUGGGUGACUUGAGGAAAAGUUGGCAGACCUGGGCAGAGGAUCACAUUGAAUAUCAGAGAAAGAACCCAUUCAGCAACGACAACAGGCUUGCAUCUAAACCCGUGCAUGCUCACAGAGGAGAUCCUACCUACGGGAGACCCCCUGAAGGGUCUCAGACAGAGCAGAGGGGGAAAGAUGCUCACUCACACGUGGGAAAGGAAGUGGAAGAGCUGUGCUUGAUCAUUAGAAGCACUGGAGAGGUGGGAGAAGAUGGACAUGUGAGUGUGACAUUCGGGCAGCUGUUUGAAACAUACGUGACUAUUUCUAAUAAGGUAGUGGGAAUCUUGUUAAGAGCCAGAAAACAUGGUCUGGUUCAUUUUGAAGGUGAAAUGCUUUGGCAAGGAAAAGAUGAUGAUGUGAUCAUCACUUUGCUAGAAUAAGGCUUUCUCAUCUGAUGAAUUCUGCUGCAUGGUUCCGUUUGGGAAAACAUAGCUGGAUACCAUCUUGAAAGAGGUUUUCAUUACAAAAUUUCAACUCAGCUGCUUCUUGGGGCACGAGCAGGAGAGAAAACGGGUGAGAAGGAUGAAAAAAUAUUUUUGUAAGAAUAGUAGAGAUUUGGACAGAAAUCACAAAUAAUCUACUAAUCCAUCACGCUGCCAUUGGAUUGUCCUUUCAUUAUUGUCAUCCACUACCAAGUAUACUGCAGUUCUUCACAUAACUCUGCUGGAUUACUGCUUUAGCUUACUGAAAGUAUAAAUUACUAACUUGCUACCGUACAACACUGAUUCUUGCAGGUUGUGAAAUACUUGCUGUAUGUGGGAUUUUGAUUUGUAAAACAUGGAAUUGAAAACUUUUACGGGAAUUCAUAUACUCCAAAAAAAGAGCCUGGUUUAUAGCAAAAGUUUAGGUUAUUUUCACAUGGUGAAACUGAAUAAAUGGAAGUUAUUUUCAUGAAGUAUAUGAAAAUUCCUGAAUUUACAGAAAUAUGACAGCAAGCGUAUCUGAUGUUUCCUAAAUUAGUUGCAUCUUGCAUGUAUUUUGGAGAGCUGCACUAGUCCUGGUAUUAGUCUAUUCUUAUUAUCAUACCUUCUCCAAACCUUCUGUGUCUCUUGUUUUUUUCCUUCUGUAUCCCAUACCAUUUUUACCUACCUGUUCUGUUCUUCUAGUGCUGUGUCAUACCCUAGCAGAUCACAAAGCUCUGCAGCCUUUUUGGUGAAUUCAGCUAUAUCCCUUCAUAGAAAGUAGGGUGCCACAAUAUAAAGAUGUGAAAGGCAACAGAAACUAUAUAUUGGAGCACUGUGCAUUCGUGAGAAAAAGAAAAAAAAGCGGCUCUUUCUCGUCUUUCACCAAAAUGUAGCAAUGUUGUUUACAAGAGGAGGAGAGUAGAGAUCCUGUAGUGCCAAAUGCAUAAAUAAAGGUACAGUGGAGCAGUCCCACACCUCAUUUAUCUGAGGCAGAGCUGUGCUUUCAGAGCAUAGUUGUGAAUUUGCCAAACUGGGAGCAAAAAUGAUCAGCUAGUUAAAACUGAGACUGAAAGAUGACUGAUAACAAUUUCCUUCAUGGUUCUUCCAGGGGAACUUUCUCUAUGUUUAGAAAAAAAAAAAAAAAGGAUUGGUUAUAUGCAAUAGUUGUAAUAAUGCUAUUAAAAAUAAUCAGGAGCUGUAUUUACAAUAGUUCCCACCAAGAAAACUGUAUAAUUAGAAACAUAAAGUUCUGGUUUUUACCUGUGCAAAUAAAAGCUUUUAUGUGGUAUUAACUACACUACUUGGUGGGUCUUUAAAGUAAGAUAUUCUCUCGCCUCGAAAGGAUAUUGAAAUUUAAUAUAAACUAUGAACUUGAUAAAAGUGAUAGAUUAUUUUAUGCUAUUUACAGAAAAGAAUGUCUUUUUGCAAAAAGCCUAAAAGAAUGGGAUUUUGUUUUGACAUUUUCAUCCAAUGGAGGUUUGCAUUAAAAUAAGCCUUUUGACUGAGCAAAUAAAAAUACGGAUUUCGUUA